ACGAGUUACAAGUCGGCCGACCGUGCUGGCGGUCACGCAUGUGCACGUCGGUCGCAAACCUCAUCCACACACCUGUGAACGUAUGGCCUUUUGGGUCUCUGACCUGGGGGGCAAACCUUUUUUACCCACUCUUUGUAAAAGAAUGUUCUACGUGUGAUAAACACAAAUGAAA
rnacentral:misc_RNA from 1 species